AGUGAACGCUGGCGGUAGGCCUAACACAUGCAAGUCGAACGGCAGCACAGUAAGAGCUUGCUCUUACGGGUGGCGAGUGGCGGACGGGUGAGGAAUACAUCGGAAUCUACUUUUUCGUGGGGGAUAACGUAGGGAAACUUACGCCAAUACCGCAUACGACCUACGGGUGAAAGCAGGGGAUCUUCGGACCUUGCGCGAUUGAAUGAGCCGAUGUCGGAUUAGCUAGUUGGCGGGGUAAAGGCCCACCAAGGCGACGAUCCGUAGCUGGUCUGAGAGGAUGAUCAGCCACACUGGAACUGAGACACGGUCCAGACUCCUACGGGAGGCAGCAGUGGGGAAUAUUGGACAAUGGGCGCAAGCCUGAUCCAGCCAUACCGCGUGAGUGAAGAAGGCCUUCGGGUUGUAAAGCCCUUUUGUUGGGAAAGAAAAGCAGCAGGUUAAUACCCCGCUGUUCUGACGGUACCCAAAGAAUAAGCACCGGCUAACUUCGUG
rnacentral:rRNA from 1 species